UCCUCUCCUCCCCUUUGCCCUGAGUUGCCGUAGCUUUCAAUCGCCAUCCCGUCGCGAGAAUCUUCAUAAAAUCCACCAACCUGAGAGACCGGAAUCGAGGUUCAAUUCGAGGAAUACGGACGAUCGCGAUCCAUCUCUCUAUCUCACUGCGCGAUUCGCGGCGUCCGAUUUCGUGUAAUUGUUUGCUCAUGUGAGACGUUACAGAGAUUCGAUUUCUUUGUGGCGCGGUUUCGUUUUCUCGAUGACGCUGAUCGAUCCGUUCCUAUUGUAGAAUAUGGAGUGGAACGGGUGGUGGUUGAGGGCGAUGGUUGUUCUGACAUGCUCGAUUGCCGCAAGUGGGGCGAGAGAACUUUGAGUGAGGUCCAAGGCUCAUAAAGCUGUUUACAAUCACACUCUUGUGAUGAUAGUGGUGGAGUAUGCAUCUGUAGUUUACAUGUCAGAUUUGACAGCACUUUUUUGUUGGACAUGUCCUAGUUGUGAUGGAAAGACCAAGGUAAUUCGACUACGUUUUAUUAUGACAUUGUUGCUAAGGUUGCGUAAAGAAUAGGUCCUCAGUACUAAAUGGCCAAUUCUUGAGAUGGGAUUUUGUGGGCAUAUGCUGCCUUCUCUUAUUAGCUUCUGACUGGUUAUUAAUGCCUUUGGAUU